CAUCUGUGGACCCACUGUCCCCACGGUUUCACCACUUCAGAGGCAGAGCAAAGGGGGAGCUGCACGCAGGCGCAAGGAAAGAGGUUUUGACCUUUAGGAGAGAGCCAAUUCUGGAGAACAGUCUAACUUCUUUGAACACUCUCAUAAUGCAUUGGAACAUGAUAGGAGAUUAAGGUUUAAUAAUAAAAUGAAGGCUACAAUUAAGCAGUCCCUUCUUUAUAGAGGAGCAUUCUUAACUGGGACGCAAGCCAGAGGUGCAGGGGCGGUG